rnacentral:rRNA from 1 species
CCUACGGGAGGCAGCAGUGGGGGAUAUUGCACAAUGGGGGCAACUCUGAUGCAGCGAUGCCGCGUGGGUGAAGAAGCGCCUCGGCGCGUAAAGCCCUGUCAGCAGGGAGGAAAAUGACGGUACCUGUAGCAGAAGCACCGGCUCACUCCGUGCAAGAAGCCGCGUUAAUACGUAGGGGGCCAGCGUUAUCCGGAUUUAUCGGGUGUAAAGGGGGUGCAGUCGGCGUUGCAAGCCAGGAGUGAAAGCCAGGGGCCCAACCCCGGGACUGCUCUUGGAACUGCGUGGCUAGAGUGCAGGAGGGGCAGGCGGAAUGCCUGGUGUAGCGGUGAAAUGCGUAGAUAUCAGGAGGAACACCGGUGGCGAAGGCGGCCUGCUAAACUGCAACUGACGUUGAGGCCCGAAAGCGUGGGGAGCAAACAGGAUUAGAUACCCCUGUAGUC